rnacentral:misc_RNA from 1 species
AAAAUGCGAUAAGUAAUGUGAAUUGCAGAAUUCCGUGAAUCAUCAAAUCUUUGAACGUACAUUGCGCCUUUUGGUAAUCCGAAAGGCAUGCCUGUCUGAGCGUCAUUACAUCUUUUAAACCUUUCUUUGAAGUGGUUUAGUCUUGGAAGUAGAUUGUCGGUUGUUUCAAUUGACCAAUCUCUUCUAUAAUGUAUUGACAAGAGUCUACGGUUCUUUAGUUGUAGUAUAUUCUUUCAACUUUAAAGGGCUUGUAGGCACUUUAGCUAACUGCCACAGCUGGUUCACGCCAGUCUGUGUCUUCUAAAGUUUGACCUCAGAUCAGGUAGGAAUACCCGCUGAACUUAA